rnacentral:rRNA from 1 species
UACGUAGGGCGCAAGCGUUGUCCGGAAUUAUUGGGCGUAAAGAGCUCGUAGGCUGUUCGAUAAGUCGGGUGUGAAACCUCCAGGCUCAACCUGGAGACGCCACCCGAUACUGUCAUGACUAGAGUCCGGUAGGGGAGCGUGGAAUUCCUGGUGUAGCGGUGAAAUGCGCAGAUAUCAGGAGGAACACCAGCGGCGAAGGCGGCGCUCUGGGCCGGUACUGACGCUGAGGAGCGAAAGCGUGGGUAGCAAACAGG